CUCAUUUCAUCAUCAUAUGUUAGCAGACACUUAUCCUUUCCGGCUUCCGCUACAUACUGCUGAGUGCUGACUCCUCGUUAACUGUCAACGCACCUCCAAAUGGACUGCAAGCCGGUAUGUACCUGGAAUUUCUCUAUGUGUGUCCUUUAAUUAAGUGUCAAUCGCCUCCAUAUGUUGAACAUUACAUCAUUGCAAUAUCAUCCUAGUCUCGAGACGAUCCAAACACUAACCUGUAAACUGUAAUCAAGUUGCUGGUUAUUGUCUCUCCUGUUGAUUCUGUCCCUCUUUCCUUCCGAAUCUGUGCAGUAUAAUCUUUUAAACCAGGAUGUCCUCCUCCUCAACUGGGGAAGUGGAGUUUUGAGUUUCAGUCACGGGCCUCUUUGAACAAUUUGGAUUCCUUUGGGGUCUUUGAUCCAGUUUCACACUGUUUUUCCCAUCUCUUUUUUCACAUUGAAGGACAUAAUUAAUAUGCAACUUGGUAUGUAUGACUACCUUGCAAAACAAGUCGUAACACUUUGUGUAGGGACUGAAACUAUGUAUGAGAUAUGUCUUUGUCCGCACUCGUUAUACCAUUUUCUGUAGUCGAAAUGAAGUAAACAACAACAAAAACAUACCCAAUGUAGUACGUAGACCUUACCCCUACCUCGUAGGGAUAGAGAGGCUGUUUCCAAUAGACCCACGGCUCAAGUAAUGCAUCUCAAAGCAGUUUGAAAAGGAAAAUACGGAAAUGAAAGUAGUAACAACGAUGAAAUAAAGCGCUAGGGUCGAAAGGAAGUAGACAUGAUGAACUUUUCAACGUCCAAUUUUCAUAAUGUCCACAAAGGCAUCAAGAUGAGAAUAAUUAAUUAGCACACUAAAAGAAACUUCCAAACAAACACAGAUUUACUAAUAUGCACAUAGUCAUUAUCAUUAUGACGAAAACCAAAAGUUGCAAGAAGCUUACAUAUUACUACUAUCUACAGAGUCCUACCCAAAAAUUCUUCUUGCAUUUUUCAAACUAUUCAUUGUCAUUUUCCGUUUAAUAUAUACUCUCAUCAUAUAUCCAGAGAUUGUCCAAACCGCAGAACUCACCUAAAAGAGAUCCAUACUUAUCAAUGAUUGGUACACCCAGUUCCAGCGAAAAAUUGACUUCCCUGCCAUCUGGAAGUUGGACCCAUUUUCCCAUUGACGAAUCUGCGUCUUCUUGAUUUCCUUGCUUCUCCCAUGUACUAAAAUCAACCGGCGUUUUGCUUUGCAACUCGGACUCCUUUGAUCUCUGAACAUCGAAUUUCAUGUACUGAUUAGCAUGGCAAGUUUCUUCAGCAGCUGAUUCAGACUGAAGUCCUACACAAUUUACAACUAAUUUCUCUUUCCCAACUUGCUUCUCCCCUGUACUAAAAUCAACCGGCGUUUUGCUUUGCAACUCGGACUCCUUUGAUCUCUGAACAUCGAAUUUCAUGUACUGAUUAGCAUGGCAAGUUUCUUCAGCAGCUGAUUCAGACUGAAGUCCUACACAAUUUACAACUAAUUUCUCUUUCCCAACUUGCUUCUCCCCUGUACUAAAAUCAACCGGCAUAUUGUUUUGCAACUCGGCCUCUUUUGAUCUCUGAAACAUCGAAUUUCAUAUACUGAUUAGCAUGGAAAGUUUCUUCAGCAGCUGAUUCGGACUGAAAUCCUUCACAAUUUACAACUAAUUUCUCUUUCCCAGCUUGCUUCUCCCCUGUACUAAAAUCAACCGGCAUAUUGCUUUGCAACUCGGCCUCUUUUGAUCUCUGAACGUCGAAUUUCAUAUACAGAUUAGCAUGGAAAGUUUCUCCAGCAACUGAUUCAGGCUGAAAUCCUUCACAAUUUACAGUUAUUUUCUCUUUCCCAACUUGUUUCUCCCUAGCAUUUAAAUGAAUUUUCUUACUACAUUUCUUCUUUGGCUUGACUAUUUCCCGAAACUCGAGCUUCUUAGAUUGAUAAGCUAGGGAAGCCUCUUCAUACGUGCCAAAAGUCCCCAACCAAAUCUUUUUCUUACUAAUGGGGUUUACAAUCUCAGAUGUAUAUUUCCCCCACUGGUUCUUGCGAACCCCAACGAAACGCGUUGUUUUGGGAGAAUCCAUUUUUUUAUUUCUACCCCCACUAGACAAUGAUGCCCCAACAGAUGAUUCAGGUUUAGUUUGAUCACAAUUCUUUGGUUUAUCCUUCUUAUAUCCCUGAGUUAACAUAUCAAACUCAGACUUCUUGGAUAAAUAAGCUUGUGAAGCCUCUUCAAUAGUGUUAAAAGUACCUAACCAUACUUGCUUAUGCUUAAUUGGAUCUCUAAUUUCAGCACUAUAUCUCCCAUUCUUUUGCUUUCGGAUUCCAAGUAAGCCUGACUUAGCUUUAGGAUUUCUUUUCAUAGUAUUACACCUAUCAGAUGAUUUAGACAAUGAACAUGAUGUUUCUUUACAAGAUUCUAGAUUCAUGACGUUUAUUGGUUUCUUAGAUGCAUGCAUGUUAGAGUUAAAACCUUUGCAUACCUGCUUUUUCUUGAAAGUUUUUUUUCUCAAUUUCCCCAUGUUAUGCCAUUCAGCUCCAAGUAAGGUGCUUUUGUGAAGGAAAGAUAUCUCCUGAAUAAAGGGAUUUUUCCCAUGAUCAGCAGCAGUGGCAGUGGUAGCGGCAGCAGCAUCAGCAGUUUUGUUAGUCGAAUUUGAGCUUGGCAUUUCAUCAAGCAUGUGGUGGGCAGUAGCAAAUUCACAUUGCUUAGCUAAAUAAGCCUCGGAAGCUUCUUCAGCAGUGUUGAAUAUACCCAACCAAACCCGUUUUUUCGUAAUCGGGUCCCAUUUUUCAGCAACAUACUCGCCUCGUUUCCUCUUCCGAACCCCAGAAAAAUUUGCUGCAUUCUGCAAACCCAAAACUGUACUGUCACUCCUUUCAGCAGCAGGAACACUUUUGUUAGUGGAAUUUGAGCUUGGCAUUUCAUCAUACAUGUGGUGAGCAGAAACAGAGCUUUGAUUUUCUUCUGCAUUUGCUCCUGCAGAUUCCAUGGCGAAUUACUAUGUACAAGAACAAUGCAUGGGAUUGAAGGGUGAGAUGAAAAAAGGGGAAUUGGAAUUGAGGAUGAGCAUGUUUGAGAGUAUUAAUGGUGGAAUUUCCAUUGACACUUGUCCUGACAAUUGACACAUUUAACAGUGAGAUGAUGACAACUGUUCUUGAGGAGUAGAAAUGUAUAACUUGGUAACUUUUGACGGGUUAACAUAGCGUA
rnacentral:lncRNA from 1 species